ACCCUGCAGAUUCCACACCCCUCAGAUCUAAACACUGCUCUAAGGGACUGUAAAAGGAGAAAAGUAAAACUGAAAUGGACUUGGAUUCUUUUGUGACACACAAGUUGUUUUCACACAACA
rnacentral:snoRNA from 1 species